ACACACUUAUACAGGAUGUGCCAGAAGAUAUCGACAGAAGUCUGAAAAAAAAAACUUCUUGCGACUCUCUUUUCUUGAAAGUUCUGCUAAUGCCAAAAUUAAGUCAUAUGACGUAUUGUCAGUUUUCCAUUUUCGUGGAAUUGGACAUGUAAUCAGACGUAUUGUAAUAUGAAAGCUUCGGCCAAUGUAAAUGUAACCAUAUUCCUGGAAGACCUUGCGCCAGAUGACAGCAUAAAGAUCGAAAGACUUAGAGAAACUCAAGCCAUUCUGCAACAAAACAAAAUCAAUAAUGGAGAUCAACGUCUGAAGGUUGACGAGAAAAAAUCGAGCAGCAACCCCAGAGGAAUCAAAAGCUACACUCCUCUAAUCGUGGCUAUCACCUGCAUUAUCGUCUUCAUAGGCGUUGUUAUUUUUCUCUUUCAUGACUUUAUAUUAUGAGUUUGAAAUCUAAGGAGAGUAUUGACACGUAGGGAUCGUUAUACCCAUUAAAUUACUGAAGUUCACGCAGUGCUGUAUCCAUAAACCAAAAUGUAACGAGAUUAGAAGACGAUAUUAAUAACUCAACAUGAGUAGGUUAUGGAUUCUCUAUAAACCAAUAAAUGUUUUGGACAUUUAGAAAAAAAAUUUUAUACUCAGAUUAAUUAUUUUACUUUUAACAUAGGCUACCAGUUAUUUACUCGCAGGAAAAAAAUGUUAAAAGACAAUUAAGUAUUGAUUAGCAGAAAUCAAUGUUGCUUAUACUUAAAUGGGGGAAAUAAAUGCAUAAUUAUUAUAAUAAUUAUUAUAAAUCAAUUGAACUAUUGAUUUCUCUUAGCCUCAAGCUUGAAUUGAUUACAAAAUGAGUACCACGCUGUACAUUUCAUUUUAUUUUAUUGUAAAUCUAAGGGCAGUAUUUUUAAUUUGAAAAUUUAACAGAUGGUUAAUAUGUACCCUAAUCAAAAAUAUUAUAUGAAAUACUUGAUACGAAGACAUUGUUUUGCAUCGGAGUUUAACUGUAAUUAAAAUUAUAAAAAUCCAUUAA